rnacentral:rRNA from 1 species
UACGUAGGGUGCAAGCGUUGUCCGGAAUUAUUGGGCGUAAAGAGCUCGUAGGCGGUCUGUCGCGUCUGCUGUGAAAGCUCGGGGCUUAACCCCGGGCCUGCAGUGGGUACGGGCAGACUAGAGUGCGGUAGGGGAGACUGGAAUUCCUGGUGUAGCGGUGAAAUGCGCAGAUAUCAGGAGGAACACCGGUGGCGAAGGCGGGUCUCUGGUCCAUGACUGACGCUGAGGUGCGAAAGCUAGGGGAGCAAACGGG